UGGCAUCAUGAGUUCACAUGUUCACAUGAUUAAAGGUAUUCCGGUAGACGAUGGGGGAUGCGUUCCAUUUAGAUAGUAGGCGGGGUAACGGCCCACCUAGUCUUCGAUGGAUAGGGGUUCUGAGAGGAAGGUCCCCCACAUUGGAACUGAGACACGGUCCAAACUCCUACGGGAGGCAGCAGUGAGGAAUAUUGGUCAAUGGGCGCAGGCCUGAACCAGCCAAGUAGCGUGAAGGAUGAAGGUCCUACGGAUUGUAAACUUCUUUUAUAAGGGAAUAAAGUGAGUCUCGUGAGACUUUUUGCAUGUACCUUAUGAAUAAGGACCGGCUAAUUCCGUG
rnacentral:rRNA from 1 species